GUCUGGCUUCUGUGCAUUUCCCACGCGGUCUUAUCGGCGGCGGGUUAUACGCGGCUUGGGCGAUUAUGGUGGUCGUGAGGCGGAGGCGAGGCGCGAGGAGCUAAGUCUCUCUCUCAGGUGGAACUCCCUUGCACUCUGCACGCCGCCGCGCCGCGCCGCGAACCCGGCGUUUAGGAUAUGUGUAUGAGUGCUCUGUGUGUAGUGUGUAUAGUGUUGUAUAGUAUGGUAUACGGUUUCAACAAUAAUUCGGGUACAGACAUUGAGGCUGGUGUACGAGCAGACUAGUGGUAUUUUUCACAGAAGCGGAAUCUACGGUUCGCGCGGCAGAAACGCCUGAUACACACACGUGCGCCGACGACUAAUUCAACAGAAGUUAUCUAAACGCGUGUUCGCAAAAUCGGAAUUGUGCCAAAAGUGUCGUCCUGUUCACUAUAUCUUUUGCCACACAGCGUUAAAACAUCGACGAGAAAUACCGCAGAUUCACGGUGAAAUCAACCUUACUUACCGUUGCUGUUAAGGAACAAAAAAAAAAAUACUCCAAUAUUUCCGCUACACUAUACCAAAAAUUGGAAAAGAAUCAGCGGUCAUAUUAUUUACCGGCGGCGGCGGGAAGUGAACCGUACCGACGAAUUAAAAUAGUAUUUAAUCAGAUACGCAGAUCAGCGUGUAAAAUACUCGAUUCGCGCGCCCAAGAAGUGGCCCCUGACUUAUAGCGUAUUCAUAUUUAUUGGCAUUGGUGCGACCAAAGGACCCGCAAAAACAAUCAACAUGUUCGCGGUAAUGCAAGUUGAGACUGACGAAAGGAGGGAAUUCAGGAGAAAAAUGCGCACGAAGUGCGAGUUCGUCUGCAAAUAUUGUCAGAGGCGGUUCACCAAACCGUAUAAUCUGAUGAUCCACGAACGAACGCACAAAGAUGAUGUCACAUUCACGUGCGAAGUUUGCGGUAAAACGUUCAAACGUCAAGAUAAUCUCAAACAACACAGAUGUGGGUGGCGGUGAGAUCAGAUCUUUGCUGCAUUGUGUCCUAUAGACCUUGUUAAUUCUUUGCAACCAGCUCACAAUUUUAUUGACAAUACACAGUCCCAGUUGCAACAGAACCGCUACGUAUACGUGGAGAUUUUAAUAAUUAUUAUUUAUAAUGUAUUGUUUCGCGAGCUUUAAAAAAGUUUCGUUUUUAUAAAAAAAAAAUCUUCGGAGAAAAAAUCGACAAAAAAAUCCAAAAUUAGGGUGCUUUACUUUUUUUUCUUUCUUUUUUUUAAAUUUUCACUUAUCCUAUAAUUUAUUAUUUUUUUUCCUGUACCAUGAAAAUGGAGAAUUUUCUACGUACUCACUAUUUUUUUUCAAGUUUCCUAUAUUUUUUUUUCUAUCGAUGUUUCUUAUUCGGUGGUUAUUAUUUUUUUAUUUAUUAAUUUUUUCCCCCUUUUUUUCUCUUUCUCUUUCGUAGUAUUUAAUUAUUUUAUUUUUUAAUUACGUGGGUAGAUAAGAAUACGUUGUUGUGUGUGUGAGCGUUUUAUUGUUGUUGUAGUGGUGCAAUAGCCUAUAUAUAUAAAUGAUGAAAUACUAUCGUAAGAGCUGCGUUUCUUGACACCGCGGUGUUCGAGGUUACCGGGGGUUAAAAUGAAAAAAAAUGUUUCGGGGGUUGGGGCUGUUUUUCGUUGAUACGAAAAAGCAACGUUAAAUGAGCCUAUUUAAUAAAGGUUUAUUCACGAUCGGAUUAUGUACGAGUAUACGAUCCGCGGGUCAAAAAACGUGGCUGAGUAGACGAUGAUGAUGAUGAUGAUGAUGGUGGAGAUGAUGAUGAAGAUGAUGUUGAGGUAGGCAGGCAAGCAAGCAGGCAAAAAAAAAGGCGAAACAAAUGAUCCAAAAAAGUUCAUUAAAAAAUAAUUAAUUAAUUCUAGUCUAAUACGUAAGUGGUUAAAAAUUAUACGUUAAAUGUGGUAUUAUAUUUUACGUGCUGUAGAAUAAUGGAAAAUCAAAAUACGUUACUUCACUACUACAAUUUUUUUAUACAUUAAGGGUUACUUUACUACUAUAGGAGGAGGAUACCUGCCUGGGACCUGUAAAAAAAAAUUAAAAGGGUGUCCUUCAUCCCAUUGAUGGUUUAUUAUUUUGUACGUUAUAAUUUCUCUUAUUAUGUUUAUUUUUAUUUUUCUUUCUUUUUUCUUUUUUUUUUUUUUUAUUUGUUGUGAUUUACGUACCAACGUCGUGUAAAUUACUACC